rnacentral:rRNA from 1 species
UUUAUGGAGAGUUUGAUCCUGGCUCAGGAUGAACGCUGGCGGCGUGCCUAAUACAUGCAAGUCGAGCGAACGGAUGAGAAGCUUGCUUCUCUGAUGUUAGCGGCGGACGGGUGAGUAACACGUGGAUAACCUACCUAUAAGACUGGGACAACUUCGGGAAACCGGAGCUAAUACCGGAUAAUAUUUUGAACCGCAUGGUUCAAAAGUGAAAGACGGUCUUGCUGUCACUUAUAGAUGGAUCCGCGCUGCAUUAGCUAGUUGGUAAGGUAACGGCUUACCAAGGCAACGAUGCAUAGCCGACCUGAGAGGGUGAUCGGCCACACUGGAACUGAGACACGGUCCAGACUCCUACGGGAGGCAGCAGUAGGGAAUCUUCCGCAAUGGGCGAAAGCCUGACGGAGCAACGCCGCGUGAGCGAUGAAGGUCUUCG